rnacentral:rRNA from 1 species
GCACGAACUUAGCCCGUGCUUCCUCUGCAUGCUCUGUCAAAUACAGGAAGAUAACUCCCGUAUACUUCAUCCCCUCUGACAGCGGUUUACAACCCGAAGGCCUUCAUCCCGCACGCGGCGUCGCUCGGUCAGACUUGCGUCCAUUGCCGAAGAUUCUCGA